CGCACAUUGCGCCCAUUGGUAUUCCGAUGGGCAUGCCUGUUCGAGCGUCAUUAUCAACCCUCAAGCCUGGCUUGGUGUUGGAUCGAGCCCGCGUCACGCCGGCCGGUCCCAAAGACAAUGACGGCGUCUGUUGGACCCUCGCUGCAAUGAGCUUUCACGAGCACGCGGCGAGCCUCAAGGACCUUCAGGCCCGGUCACCUUUAACCCAUUUUACAAGGUUGACCUCGGAUCAGGUAGGGAUACCCGCUGAACUUAA
rnacentral:misc_RNA from 1 species